UACGAAGGGGGCUAGCGUUGUUCGGAAUUACUGGGCGUAAAGCGCACGUAGGCGGAUAUUUAAGUCAGGGGUGAAAUCCCAGAGCUCAACUCUGGAACUGCCUUUGAUACUGGGUAUCUUGAGUAUGGAAGAGGUAAGUGGAAUUGCGAGUGUAGAGGUGAAAUUCGUAGAUAUUGGGAAGAACACCGGUGGCGAAGGCGGCUCUCUGGACCGAUACUGACGCUGAGGUGCGAAAGCGUGGGGAGCAAACAGG
rnacentral:rRNA from 1 species